UACGCAGGGGACUAGCGUUGUUCGGAAUCACUGGGCGUAAAGCGCACGUAGGCGGAUUUGUAAGUCAGGGGUGAAAUCCCGGGGCUCAACCUCGGAACUGCCUUUGAUACUGCGAAUCUUGAGUCCGAUAGAGGUGGGUGGAAUUCCUAGUGUAGAGGUGAAAUUCGUAGAUAUUAGGAAGAACACCAGUGGCGAAGGCGGCCCACUGGAUCGGUACUGACGCUGAGGUGCGAAAGCGUGGGGAGCAAACAGG
rnacentral:rRNA from 1 species